rnacentral:tRNA from 1 species
GCCGGGGUGGCGAAAUGGUAUACGCGCAAGACUUAAAAUCUUGUGGGAGUAAUUCUCUCGUGUGGGUCCGAGUCCCACCCUCGGCA